rnacentral:rRNA from 1 species
UGCAAGUCGAACGGUAACAGGUCUUCGGAUGCUGACGAGUGGCGAACGGGUGAGUAAUACAUCGGAACGUGCCCGAGAGUGGGGGAUAACGAAGCGAAAGCUUUGCUAAUACCGCAUACGAUCUCAGGAUGAAAGCAGGGGACCGCAAGGCCUUGCGCUCACGGAGCGGCCGAUGGCAGAUUAGGUAGUUGGUGGGAUAAAAGCUUACCAAGCCGACGAUCUGUAGCUGGUCUGAGAGGACGACCAGCCACACUGGGACUGAGACACGGCCCAGACUCCUACGGGAGGCAGCAGUGGGGAAUUUUGACAAUGGGCACAAGCCUGAUCCAGCCAUGCCGCGUGCAGGAUGAAGGCCUUCGGGUUGUAAACUGCUUUUGUACGGAACGAAAAGACUCUGGUUAAUACCUGGGGUCCAUGACGGUACCGUAAGAAUAAGCACCGGCUAACUACGUGCCAGCAGCCGCGGUAAUACGUAGGGUGCGAGCGUUAAUCGGAAUUACUGGGCGUAAAGCGUGCGCAGGCGGUUAUAUAAGACAGAUGUGAAAGCCCCGGGCUCAACCUGGGAAUUGCGAUGGAGACUGCAAGGCUUGAAUCUGGCAGAGGGGGGUAGAAUUCCACGUGUAGCAGUGAAAUGCGUAGAGAUGUGGAGGAACACCGAUGGCGAAGGCAGCCCCCUGGGUCAAGAUUGACGCUCAUGCACGAAGGCGUGGGGAGCAAACAGGAUUAGAUACCCUGGUAGUCCACGCCCUAAACGAUGUCUACUAGUUGUCGGGUUUUAAUUAACUUGGUAACGCAGCUAACGCGUGAAGUAGACCGCCUGGGGAGUACGGUCGCAAGAUUAAAACUCAAAGGAAUUGACGGGGACCCGCACAAGCGGUGGAUGAUGUGGAUUAAUUCGAUGCAACGCGAAAAACCUUACCUACCCUUGACAUGUACGGAAGACCGAAGAGAUUUGGGUUGUGCUCGAAAGAGAACCGUAACACAGGUGCCUGCCAUGGGCU